AGUGAACGCUGGCGGUAGGCCUAACACAUGCAAGUCGAACGGCAGCACAGUAAGAGCCUGCUCUUACGGGUGGCGAGUGGCGGACGGGUGAGGAAUACAUCGGAUUCUACUUUUUCGUGGGGGAUAACGUAGGGAAACUUACGCUAAUACCGCAUACGACCUACGGGUGAAAGCAGGGGAUCUUCGGACCUUGCGCGAUUGAAUGAGCCGAUGUCGGAUUAGCUAGUUGGCGGGGUAAAGGCCCACCAAGGCGACGAUCCGUAGCUGGUCUGAGAGGAUGAUCAGCCACACUGGAACUGAGACACGGUCCAGACUCCUACGGGAGGCAGCAGUGGGGAAUAUUGGACAAUGGGCGCAAGCCUGAUCCAGCCAUACCGCGUGGGUGAAGAAGGCCUUCGGGUUGUAAAGCCCUUUUGUUGGGAAAGAAAAGCAGCAGGUUAAUACCCCGCUGUUCUGACGGUACCCAAAGAAUAAGCACCGGCUAACUUCGUG
rnacentral:rRNA from 1 species